CGGGGUGUGGCGCAGCCCGGUAGCGCGCUUGCAUGGGGUGCAAGAGGUCCCGAGUUCGAGUCUCGGCGCCCCUA
rnacentral:tRNA from 1 species